rnacentral:rRNA from 1 species
UACAACUUUCAACAACGGAUCUCUUGGUUCUGGCAUCGAUGAAAAACGCAGCGAAAUGCGAUAAGUAGUGUGAAUUGCAGAAUUCAGUGAAUCAUCGAAUCUUUGAACGCACAUUGCGCCCCUUGGUAUUCCAUGGGGCAUGCCUGUUCGAGCGUCAUU